rnacentral:rRNA from 1 species
GACGAACGUUGGCGGCGUGCUUAACACAUGCCAGUCGAGCGGAGCGGCGAACGGGUGAGUAACGCGUGAGUAACUGCCCCCCUCUCUGGAGUAACAGUUGGAAACGGCUGCUUAUACCGUAUAGUGGUGGAUGACUCGCCUCCUAUCAUCUUGUUGUUGGGGUAGUGGCCUACCAAGUCGACGACGGGUAGCCGGCCUGAGAGGGCGACCGGGCAUAUUGUGCUGAGAUAUGGCGCAAACUCCUACGGGAGGCAGCAGUGGGGAAUAUUGCACAAUGGGGGAAAACUUUAUGAAGCAACGACGCGUGAGGGAUGACGGACUUCGGGUUGUAAACCGAUUUCAGCCAUGACGCGGUAGUGGCAGAAGAAGCACCGGCUAACUACGUGCCAGCAGCCGCGGUAAUAC